rnacentral:rRNA from 1 species
UGGGGAAUCAUGGUCAAUGGGCGAAAGCCUGAUGGAGCGACGCCGCGUGGGGGAUGAAGGGCUUCGGCCUGUAAACCCCUGUCAUUUGCGAACAAACCUUUUUACCUAACACGUAAGGAGCUGAUUGUAGUGAAAGAGGAAGGGACGGCUAACUCUGUGCCAGCAGCCGCGGUAAUACAGAGGUCCCAAGCGUUGUUCGGAUUCACUGGGCGUAAAGGGUGCGUAGGUGGUGGUGUAAGUUUGGUGUGAAAUCUCCGAGCUCAACUCGGAAACGGCACUAAAUACUAUAUUGCUGGAGGGUCGGAAGGGAGACUGGAAUUCUCGGUGUAGCAGUGAAAUGCGUAGAUAUCGAGAGGAACACCAGUGGCGAAAGCGAGUCUCUGGACGACUCCUGACACUGAGGCACGAAAGCUAGGGGAGCAAACA